CCAUAAAUGCUCCUUUGGAAAUCUUGAAAUUUUUUAUCCAAGACCUCUGUCUGGUUGGAAACUUGGUAAAAAUCCAAGAUUUAUAUGGUAUUUCAGGGAUUUGUAGUUUUCUGUACCUGCAAGGAAGACUAGGUUUAUCGAAUAACUAAUAUUUUACUUGCCUAAUAAUAUUCGAUUUCCUUCAUAAAACUUCUAUAAUCAGAGAUUCGCCCCUUGAUGAGAU